AUUGAACGCUGGCGGCAGGCCUAACACAUGCAAGUCGAACGAGUGGCGGACGGGUGAGUAAUGUCUGGGAAACUGCCUGAUGGAGGGGGAUAACUACUGGAAACGGUAGCUAAUACCGCAUACCAUCGGAUGUGCCCAGAUGGGAUUAGCUAGUAGGUGGGGUAACGGCUCACCUAGGCGACGAUCCCUAGCUGGUCUGAGAGGAUGACCAGCCACCCGGGAACUGAGACACGGUCCAGACUCCUACGGGGGGCAGCAGUGGGGAAUAUUGCACAAUGGGGACAAGCCUGAUGCAGCAAUGCCGCGUGUAUGAAGAAGGCCUUCGGGUUGUAAAGUACUUUAAGCGGGGAGGCGUUACCCGCAGAAGAAGCACCGGCUAACUCCGUGCCAGCAGCCGCGGUAAUAC
rnacentral:rRNA from 1 species